ACAACACAACAAUGCUGAUCUUCAGGAUGGAAAUGUUGAUUAACAUCUGUGGAGCGGGGCGUUACUUUAGAACUGUCUCCAAAGACUGAUAAUCCGGCUUCAAAAUGUACUUUUCAUCCACCAGCCAAAUGGCUAGUGAAUGUUGAAAUGUUACCAUCCACUCAAUAGAUUACCAUUAUUUCUUGGCUGAGAAAAGC